rnacentral:rRNA from 1 species
AUACGGAGGACGCGAGCGUUAUCCGGAUUCAUUGGGUUUAAAGGGUGCGCAGGCGGCCGUGCAAGUCAGCGGUGAAAGCCCGGGGCCCAACCCCGGAAGUGCCGUUGAUACUGCAUGGCUUGAAUGCGGUCGAGGCGGGCGGAACGUGGCGUGUAGCGGGGAAAUGCGUAGAUAUGCCACAGAAAGCCGAUAGCGGAGGCAGCUCGCCAGGCCUGCAUUGACGCUCGGGCACGAAAGCGUGGGGAUCGAACAGGAUUAGAUACCCUGGUAGUCCACGCCGUAAACGAUGGGCGCUCGUCGUCGGCGGCAGACAGUCGGCGGCCAAGCGAAAGCGAUAAGCGCCCCACCUGGGGAGUACGGUCGCAAGGCUGAAACUCAAAUGAAUUGACGGGG